rnacentral:lncRNA from 1 species
CGACGGCUACGACCGACGAGUGAGCUCUGAUAAAGUUUUUUUUUGGGAAAUUUUCAAUUCUAUUUUAUUAUUUGUCAGCGUUAUCAGUAAUUGCAAGAUGGUACACCUGGUGGCAGUCUUGAAGCGAAUACAGCAGGUUGAAAAGCCAUCCAAGUGGAGGUACAACCUGGAGGGGGUGGAAUUUGCGCUUUCUGGUGGGGGAGAUCACAAGGUAAAACAAAAGUAUGACAACUUGCAGUCGAUGGAAAAGCUAAAAGAGAAGAUAGCAUAAUCAUGGUCGGCGCGUUGUCUCGGAGAAGACGGUAGAAUGCAGCACGGUGGAGUAACAACCGGGAGAAGUUGGACGUGCUGAAGGAACAGAACGAUGUCAUCCAGAAUCGGUCGAAGAUUGAGGCGGAAAUCGAGAGGAACAUUGAUCGCCAUCUGCGGGACAUUGAGGCCAAGAUGGUCGUUUUUGGGAGGUCAAAGAGUAGAAGCUAGGAACAGCUCUGCGUCAAGAAGCGACAGAUGCCUUUGCCAGGCGCAGAAAAAACGCAGCAAGUCUGGUGUUGACCGGGUAGUGGAUGAGUCUGAGACGUCCUCGCGGGAUAACCUGUCCGCAAUCAAAGGUUGCUGCAUCCGUGUCAAAUAAUAAUUACAGCGCUUUCAGGCCGACA